rnacentral:pre_miRNA from 1 species
GAUUACACCUCGGGGUCCGUGCCAGGAGUGCGUUUGCAAAGCACGCUACAAGUUUGCGUUGAUGCAAAGUUGACACUGUAAAUGCACUAUCUGGUACGACACCCCGUGGCGUGUUGCUCC